UCGAUCCGUGUGCGGGAAAACCGCACGCGCGGUUCGGAGGGAGGGGUGGGUUCAAACCCGUCCCUACCCCAU
rnacentral:ncRNA from 1 species